UACGUAGGGUGCAAGCGUUGUCCGGAAUUAUUGGGCGUAAAGAGCUCGUAGGCGGUUCGUCGCGUCGGCUGUGAAAACCCGGAGCUCAACUCCGGGCCUGCAGUCGAUACGGGCGGACUCGAGUUCGGCAGGGGAGACUGGAAUUCCUGGUGUAGCGGUGAAAUGCGCAGAUAUCAGGAGGAACACCGGUGGCGAAGGCGGUCUGCUGGGCAGUAGCUGACACUGAGGCGCGACAGCGUGGGGAGCAAACAGG
rnacentral:rRNA from 1 species